GUAGGUGGCAAGCGUUGUCCGGAAUUAUUGGGCGUAAAGCGCGCGCAGGCGGUUCUUUAAGUCUGAUGUGAAAGCCCACGGCUCAACCGUGGAGGGUCAUUGGAAACUGGAGAACUUGAGUACAGAAGAGGAAAGCGGAAUUCCACGUGUAGCGGUGAAAUGCGUAGAGAUGUGGAGGAACACCAGUGGCGAAGGCGGCUUUCUGGUCUGUAACUGACGCUGAGGCGCGAAAGCGUGGGGAGCAAACAGGAGUAGAUACCCUGGUAGUCCACGCCGUAAACGAUGAGUGCUAAGUGUUAGGGGGGUUUCCGCCCCCCUUAGUGCUGCAGCUAACGCAUUAAGCACUCCGCCUGGGAGUACGGCCGCAAGGCUG
rnacentral:rRNA from 1 species